rnacentral:sRNA from 1 species
UGUAUCCCCCAAAAGGGGGGAUGAGAACCACCGACCGGGGUUCGACAACUGGCGCAAGUUGGACAGACGACGAGCUUGCGAGGAGACUGCCCGAAGGGCGAGCGCAGCGAGUCAAUCCCCCCUCACCGCCA